rnacentral:rRNA from 1 species
UACGUAGGGUCCGAGCGUUGUCCGGAAUUACUGGGCGUAAAGAGCUCGUAGGUGGUUUGUCGCGUUGUUCGUGAAAACUCACAGCUCAACUGUGGGCGUGCGGGCGAUACGGGCAGACUUGAGUACUGCAGGGGAGACUGGAAUUCCUGGUGUAGCGGUGGAAUGCGCAGAUAUCAGGAGGAACACCGGUGGCGAAGGCGGGUCUCUGGGCCGAUACUGACGCUGAGGAGCGAAAGCGUGGGGAGCAAACAGG